rnacentral:rRNA from 1 species
AUAAUAAUUAGUCUUUUAAUUAGAGACUGGAAUGAAAGAUUGAAUGAAAUAUAAACUGUCUUAAAAUUAUUAAAGAUUUAAUUUAAUUUUUAAGUUAAAAAGCUUAAAUAACUUUAAAGGACGAGAAGACCCUAUAGAGUUUUAUAGUUUUUUUAUUAAAAUAGGUUUAAAUUUUCAUAUUUUAUAAGAGGAUUAUUUUGUUGGGGCGACAGGAAAAUUAGAUUAACUUUUUUAUUAUAUAAACACUUAUUUGUGAGUUUUUGAUCCUUAGUUAAAGAUUAUUAGAUUAAAUUACCUUAGGGAUAACAGCGUUAUUUUUUUUAGAGUUCUUAUCGAUAUAAAAGAUUGC